rnacentral:lncRNA from 1 species
CAGCCCUGAACUCUGCUAAGAGCUGUUUCUGCAGCUGAUCGAUAGAAUCAGGGAGGAUGAUAAUCUGAAGUAAAAAGGAUAAGAAAGUGCAGCUGUUUGACUUAAGGAAUGUUGAUGGCUUCCAAGGCUUGCUGUCCAUGGGUGGAAUAUUCUGUCUGAGAAAAGUAGAAUUGCCAAAUCCAGAGGAAAAUGGACCAUGUUAUACAGGUGGCUUAAUUUACUGUUGUUAUGCAUACAGCUGUGGAGGAAUGUUGCCUUCAUUCCACAAGAAUCCUGGCCAAGGAGAAGAGCUGAGAACUGUUAAAUAUGAUAAGGUGUUUCUCGGUCGUGACUUCUGAAGACUUACAGCCUUCUUGAGCUCCCAAGAUCCAAGGAUGCCCUCUUACCUUGUCUCUUAUCCUUUCAUGGAAGCAUCUAAAGGAAAACUGGAAACUGCAGUGUUACAUGAACAAUUCACAGCUUUCCCAGCAGGAAGAUUUGCCUCUUCACAUUGGAAGACCUCUGGCUGUGGUGUUUGCAUUUCAGAGCCGUUCCAUCUGUUUUUGAUAAGCUGGGUGAAAUUCAUCAUACUAAAUCUUUUGGCCAAUGUUCCUCAGAAGAUGAGAGGAGAGAGGAAUGGGGCAGAAGAUCACAUUUGAGAAGGUGGACUAUCCUGUGUCCAAGCUCUGAGUCAAAAGAAAUAGGAAAACAUUGUUGUAAAGAACCAGAAAAACAGCAUCAUUUUUGUGAGAAAUCUCAGCCAUUUCACUUUUACUGGAAUCAUGAAAUCUCUCUAUAAUUAAGUGACAAGCUUGUAGUGUUCCCAUACCCAUCUCUGUAGGAAUUCCUUGCAGUAAUUUGCAGAGGCACAGCUUAAGCUGGCCAAUAGUAAGAGACCAUCCUUGGUUUAUUUUUCCUUGGGGACUUCUACACUACACAAGCUUUCUAUUUGACCUUUGCAUUUUCUUCUGAGGACAAGGGGUUCAAGUCUGCAGGAUAAUUAGAAGUACCCAACAUGGCUCUGGAGAAAACCUACACUGCUUUUGAGCACCAGGAGUAGUAAACAUCUGGGGAUCAUUUGAAAUUGUAGCUGCUCACUUGCUAUGGAAGACAUGAAAGAAGCAGUUAAUGUUUCUUUUCUGGGCUGGGAAUUGAUCUUUAUCACCACUUUCCCUAACCUGUAUUAAUAACCAUCACCAGGGACAGGAGAAGCAUGCAGACUUUAAAAGGCAGCUGUAUUUGCCCUAGGUCAUGGAAGUAAAGGAAGAAUUUGGAUCUGAGUUUUUCUUGUUUUCUAUCCAGACGUAUGAACCUCUUUUGUUGGAAGUAAGUUUUGUGUGAAAUUUGACUGCAGCUUCUGAGGAUACAUAAAAAUAAGUCAAGUUAACAAGAAGAAGAAAAUAAAAAUUCCUCCUGUAAGGCCUCA